CGGACGGGUGAGUAACACGUGGAUAACCUACCUAUAAGACUGGGAUAACUUCGGGAAACCGGAGCUAAUACCGGAUAAUAUUUUGAACCGCAUGGUUCAAAAGUAAAAGACGGUCUUGCUGUCACUUAUAGAUGGAUCCGCGCUGCAUUAGCUAGUUGGUAAUGUAACGGCUUACCAAGGCAACGAUGCAUAGCCGACCUGAGAGGGUGAUCGGCCACACUGGAACUGAGACACGGUCCAG
rnacentral:rRNA from 1 species